ensembl:snRNA U1 U1 spliceosomal RNA
AUACUUACCUGGCAGGGGAGACACCAUGAUCAAGAAGGUGGUUCACCCAGGGCGAGGCUCAUCCAUUGCACUCCAAUUGUGUUGACCCCUGCGACUUCCCCAAAUGUGGAAUCUCGACUGCAUAAUUUAUGGUAGUGGGGUACUGCGUUCGCGCUCUCCCCUG